CCAACACGGGUUAAGGACAUAUGAAAAUUAGAAUGAUACAAAAAAGAUUAGCAUGACUCCGGGGUAAGGAUGACAUGCACAAAUCGACAAAUGGUAUUAGAGCUA